rnacentral:misc_RNA from 1 species
AAAGUCGUAACAAGGUUUCCGUAGGUGAACCUGCGGAAGGAUCAUUAACACGUGUUCACACACGUUUUAUCUAUCAACCAAUCGUGAACUGUUUUUUAACUUUAUUUUACCAUUUUUAAUCUGGUCUAAUUCUUUUUGGUAUUCGUUGAUCUCCUGAGCUUAACUGUUCGGUCGAGGACGACUUGAGUAUCAAAACACAAACUAAUACGAAACAACUCUUAGCAACGGAUAUCUUGGUUCUC